rnacentral:rRNA from 1 species
UUGAAGAGUUUGAUCAUGGCUCAGAUUGAACGCUGGCGGCAGGCCUAACACAUGCAAGUCGAACGGUAACAGGAAACAGCUUGCUGUUUCGCUGACGAGUGGCGGACGGGUGAGUAAUGUCUGGGAAACUGCCUGAUGGAGGGGGAUAACUACUGGAAACGGUAGCUAAUACCGCAUAACGUCGCAAGACCAAAGAGGGGGACCUUCGGGCCUCUUGCCAUCGGAUGUGCCCAGAUGGGAUUAGCUUGUUGGUGGGGUAACGGCUCACCAAGGCGACGAUCCCUAGCUGGUCUGAGAGGAUGACCAGCCACACUGGAACUGAGACACGGUCCAGACUCCUACGGGAGGCAGCAGUGGGGAAUAUUGCACAAUGGGCGCAAGCCUGAUGCAGCCAUGCCGCGUGUAUGAAGAAGGCCUUCGGGUUGUAAAGUACUUUCAGCGGGGAGGAAGGGAGUAAAGUUAAUACCUUUGCUCAUUGACGUUACCCGCAGAAGAAGCACCGGCUAACUCCGUGCCAGCAGCCGCGGUAAUACGGAGGGUGCAAGCGUUAAUCGGAAUUACUGGGCGUAAAGCGCACGCAGGCGGUUUGUUAAGUCAGAUGUGAAAUCCCCGGGCUCAACCUGGGAACUGCAUCUGAUACUGGCAAGCUUGAGUCUCGUAGAGGGGGGUAGAAUUCCAGGUGUAGCGGUGAAAUGCGUAGAGAUCUGGAGGAAUACCGGUGGCGAAGGCGGCCCCUGGACGAAGACUGACGCUCAGGUGCGAAAGCGUGGGGAGCAAACAGGAUUAGAUACCCUGGUAGUCCACGCCGUAAACGAUGUCGACUUGGAGGUUGUGCCCUUGAGGCGUGGCUUCCGGAGCUAACGCGUUAAGUCGACCGCCUGGGGAGUACGGCCGCAAGGUUAAAACUCAAAUGAAUUGACGGGGGCCCGCACAAGCGGUGGAGCAUGUGGUUUAAUUCGAUGCAACGCGAAGAACCUUACCUGGUCUUGACAUCCACAGAACUUUCCAGAGAUGGAUUGGUGCCUUCGGGAACUGUGAGACAGGUGCUGCAUGGCUGUCGUCAGCUCGUGUUGUGAAAUGUUGGGUUAAGUCCCGCAACGAGCGCAACCCUUAUCCUUUGUUGCCAGCGGUCCGGCCGGGAACUCAAAGGAGACUGCCAGUGAUAAACUGGAGGAAGGUGGGGAUGACGUCAAGUCAUCAUGGCCCUUACGACCAGGGCUACACACGUGCUACAAUGGCGCAUACAAAGAGAAGCGACCUCGCGAGAGCAAGCGGACCUCAUAAAGUGCGUCGUAGUCCGGAUUGGAGUCUGCAACUCGACUCCAUGAAGUCGGAAUCGCUAGUAAUCGUGGAUCAGAAUGCCACGGUGAAUACGUUCCCGGGCCUUGUACACACCGCCCGUCACACCAUGGGAGUGGGUUGCAAAAGAAGUAGGUAGCUUAACCUUCGGGAGGGCGCUUACCACUUUGUGAUUCAUGACUGGGGUGAAGUCGUAACAAGGUAACCGUAGGGGAACCUGCGGUUGGAUCACCUCCUU